CUCUUCUGGGAGGGUGAAAGGGAGCAAAAAAACCCUGAACAGAUAAGAAACUUUUCCACCGGUAGGAACGAGGCGUCCUGAACAUUUCCCUUCUUCCACACUCUGCUUUUUGACGUGUACAGCAUGUGCCAGAUAGGAGAUGAUAACUGUGACAAGUUCAUUGUAACUAGAAAGAUUUGGACAUAACAGACAAUGAACUAUGCAUAGACGCCAGUGCUACUGUAUGUGUAUCAGUGUGGCAAACUGUUGUUUUUAUUUUUUUUUUCUGCAGAGGCAUCUGUGGUCUCCACAGGUGUGUUGCCAUGGCUUGAAACCAAGGAGGGAGGAUAAGUGCUGACUGAGUACAGACAACAGCUACUCUGUCUUUCUCAAACAUCUUCAAGGUCCCUGUGGAGGGAUAAAUGGCCAACAGGAGGUGCCUUCCCAGGAGAGACUCAUCUGGAGCUUUACAGGGUUGCAGCGUGCAGCGGCAGGCAAGCAGGGCUCUUUGCACUCGCUGUUCCUUUUUCCUAUGCAUAUACCUCUUUGAGAUGUAACUUUAAAGAGGCAUAGGGCAUGGGAAAAUGGGGCUGCAGAGGUAUUCCACCCGUCAGUCAGCCAUUUCAUCAUCCUCUCCGCAUGACAGCUGACCUCAAAGCGUGCACACACAUGCAGCCUGGGCUCCAGCCUUCCUGGGCACGACAGAAGUGAACACUGACCGCAGGUGAUUUUUGUGUCUCUGUGAUUAGUUUUUAUGUCAUAUCAUAACUCAGAUUUCAUCAUAUUCAUUCAUGAUGACAAUGUGUGUACAGGGUGAUGUGAUUUUGUAUAGAUACAACAUUAUUGUUCAUUUAAAACAUCUGUUUGUCUCUGUCUGCUGUUUUUUUUUUUAAAUAAAGCUCUCUUGUCAUUAAA